UUCGAAAGAAGGGGGUGCCCGCAAGGGAGCGCGGAGACAGGUGGUGCAUGGCUGUCGUCAGCUCGUGUCGUGAGAUGUUGGGUUAAGUCCCGCAACGAGCGCAACCCUCACCUCUUGUUGCCACCAGGUCAUGCUGGGCACUCUAGAGGAACUGCCCCGGUCAACGGGGAGGAAGGCGGGGAUGACGUCAAGUCAUCAUGCCCCUUACGUCCUGGGCUACACACGUGCUACAAUGGCCGGUACAAAGGGAUGCCACACCGUGAGGUAGAGCUAAACCCAAAAAGCCGGUCUAAGUUCAGAUUGGAGUCUGCAACUCGACUCCAUGAAGGAGGAAUCGCUAGUAAUCGCGUAUCAGCACGACGCGGUGAAUACGUUCCCGGGCCUUGUACACACCGCCCGUCACACCACGAAAGCCCG
rnacentral:rRNA from 1 species